rnacentral:rRNA from 1 species
UACGAAGGGGGCUAGCGUUGUUCGGCAUCACUGGGCGUAAAGCGCACGUAGGCGGCUUUGUAAGUUAGAGGUGAAAGCCCGGAGCUCAACUCCGGAAUUGCCUUUAAGACUGCAUCGCUAGAAUUGUGGAGAGGUGAGUGGAAUUCCGAGUGUAGAGGUGAAAUUCGUAGAUAUUCGGAAGAACACCAGUGGCGAAGGCGACUCACUGGACACAUAUUGACGCUGAGGUGCGAAAGCGUGGGGAGCAAACAGG